AGCGAACGCUGGCGGCAGGCCUAACACAUGCAAGUCGAACGAGGUCUUCGGACUUAGUGGCGGACGGGUGAGUAACACGUGGGAACGUGCCUUUAGGUUCGGAAUAACUCAGGGAAACUUGUGCUAAUACCGAAUGUGCCCUUCGGGGGAAAGAUUUAUCGCCUUUAGAGCGGCCCGCGUCUGAUUAGCUAGUUGGUGAGGUAAAGGCUCACCAAGGCGACGAUCAGUAGCUGGUCUGAGAGGAUGAUCAGCCACAUUGGGACUGAGACACGGCCCAAACUCCUACGGGAGGCAGCAGUGGGGAAUCUUGCGCAAUGGGCGAAAGCCUGACGCAGCCAUGCCGCGUGAAUGAUGAAGGUCUUAGGAUUGUAAAAUUCUUUCACCGGGGACGAUAAUGACGGUACCCGGAGAAGAGGCCCCGGCUAACUUCGUGCCAGCCGCCGCGGUAACAC
rnacentral:rRNA from 1 species